GACGAACCGUGCUAACGUUAUUCGGAAUCACUGGGCUUAAAGGGCGCGUAGGCGGGCAGGCAAGUCGAAGGUGAAAUCCCACGGCUCAACCGUGGAAGUGCCCCCGAUACUGCCUGUCUGGAGGGAGAUAGGGGCGUGCGGAACUUCCGGUGGAGCGGUGAAAUGCGUAGAUAUCGGAAGGAACACCGGUGGCGAAAGCGGCGCGCUGGAUCUCUUCUGACGCUGAGGCGCGAAAGCCAGGGGAGCGAACGGG
rnacentral:rRNA from 1 species